CAAUAAGCGGAGGAAAAGAAACCAACAGGGAUUGCCCCAGUAACGGCGAGUGAAGCGGCAACAGCUCAAAUUUGAAAUCUGGCUCCCCCCGGGGGGCCCGAGUUGUAAUUUGGAGAGGAUGCUUUGGGCGCGGCGCCUUCCGAGUUCCUUGGAACAGGACGCCAGAGAGGGUGAGAGCCCCGUACGGUCGGACGCCUAGCCCGUGUAAAGCUCCUUCGAACGAGUCGAGUAGUUUGGGAAUGCUGCUCAAAAUGGGAGGUAAAUUUCUUCUAAAGCUAAAUACCGGCCAGAGACCGAUAGCGCACAAGUAGAGUGAUCGAAAGAUGAAAAGCACUUUGAAAAGAGGGUUAAACAGCACGUGAAAUUGUUGAAAGGGAAGCGCCUGUGGCCAGACGUGCGCCCCGCGGACCACCCGUCGCUCUGCGGCGGGGCACGCCGCGGCGGCGCAGGCCAGCAUCGGCUCUCCCAGGGGGACAAAGGUCGCGGGAACGUAGCUCCUUCGGGAGUGUUAUAGCCCGCGGCGCCAUGCCUCUGGGGGGGCCGAGG
rnacentral:rRNA from 1 species